ensembl:lncRNA
CUCCUCAGGUCGCCGUCUCUUCGUCAAGGCCGUUGUCUUAGUCGUUUCCACCACCCCAGCUACAGGUGCAGAGGGAACCUGGUGCCCACUUUUUGCGGCUGCUUCGAAGCAGAGGAAGGGGCCAGUCCUGGCCCCAUUCCCCACCAUGCACAGGGGACCAAGGGUCACCAGUCUCCGUUUCCUUUGGCCUCCGGCUCAUUCAGGCACUGUUGUGGCUUCUCCUUUCACGCGAGUUAACCCCCCAGGUUGUCACCCUGAAGGCCUUCCGUGACCAGCCUGUCAAACUCUUGCACUUGAUCCAGUGGUGGGAAACUCUUGCACUUGAGCCAGUGGUGGGAAACUCUUGCACUUGAUCCAGUGGUGGGUGCUCUCCCUGAUGUUAAGAGGAGAAGCCCUUUAAUCCUGAGUCCUGCGCUUCCCACGUCUGGUAUCAGGGACCCGGGCUUCCCAGUGAGACGUCUUCUUUCCCUCCCUGGAAGGAGGCCAAGCGGCCCGGACACCCGAGUGCUGGAGCCACGGGCCUGUGGGGGCCCCUCUGAGAAGGAGGAUUGUCCCUGCGGAAUUCCUUUCUUUCUUGGCAGGAGCACUGAGUCCCGGUCACACGUUCCUCAGGUCCCUGCACUGGACCAGGAGGCUCUGAAGCCCUCAGGUAGGGUUUCUUAGCCCUGAAGUUUGACUCUUAAGUCACAAAAGAAAAACACCUCUCUGACGGAAAGGGAUUGUCUCCACUCAGCCCAUUAGAAUAACCAGCGUCCAGCCGUGUGCAAGAAAGUUCCAUCAACACCACAAGAUUCGUUUGAGGACGCUGGACCCCAGGCCCGUGCGGAAGGCAAGAUGCAGUCCAAGCUGCGGAGCGCUGGGCUUCCAGAACUCUGGGGGUCUUGGCCUCCUCAGCCAGCGGAGUGGCCUCCCCUCCCCCUGGCCUCCGUUUCCGUCUCUUCCCACCCUCCGCUCUGCGAGGGCCUUGGGCCGAGCCGCUGAGCAUCCCUCCUUUCCAGCAGCUGCACCUCUGGGCGGGCGCUGAGCCCCUGGGAGGCUGAGCCUCACGACAGGCUUGUGAGGGCAUCGGCCCGUUUCCCCAUCAGUGUCCCCAGGAACCUCUCAGACUAGAUCCCUCCAGCUCCUGAGAAUGUCACAUCCCCCAAACCCACUCGGUUUCUUGCAGGUAACUCCCUGGGUGGAUUCCGCCGCCCGUGGCUAGAAGCAGUGACAGUAAAACGCCUCAUUCUGUUGGGGUCCGUGUGGCCGCCCUGCCCUCUAAGGCCUGUGAGAGGCACAGGGUGCCCCAGGCAACCUCUUACUGUGUGUUUCAUGAUGUUAGUCUCUCCAGGUAAGUGUUAUUUAUCCAUGUGGAAUAAAGAACCGGACCUGUAUCAGAAAACAGCGUCUCAGGAGUUCCCAUUGUGGCUUGAUGGAAAUGAAUCUGACCAGGAACCAUGAGGGUGUGGCUUGGAUCCCUGGCCUCGCUCAGUGGGUUAAGGAUCCGGUGUUACUGUGAGCUGUGGUAUAGGUGGCAGACGCAGCUCGGAUCCCACGUUGCUGUGGCUGUGGUGUAGACUGGCAACAAUAGCUCCCAUUAGACCCCUAGCCCAGGAACCUUCACAUGCCAUGGGUGCGGCCCUAAAAAGCAAAAAAAAAAAAAAAAAAAAAAAAAAAAAAAAAAAAAAAAAAGAAAAGAAAAGAAAACAUGAUAAUGUUCUAAAACCAGCCAGAUACAAGUGUAUCUGUACCAAGAGACUUUUCUUUGGUGCCUGGUCCUUUCCCUUAAUCCUCAGAAUACUGUAGAGACACAGCUGAAGGUAGCGUCCGUAGCUGAGGUCUCCUCUCUGACCAGCACAGCUCCAGGCUG